CUGGUCACAGUGGAGAAGAAGAUGAGGAUAAUGAUUAAGGUCGAGAAGGCGUUUGUCCUGCAGUCGGUGACCCAUCUCUUGGGGUUCUUGAGUGUGUGGGGAUGUUUCCACUAUGGAUGAUUUCCCUCCUACAACGGUUGCAUCUCUUUUUUGACGGACGCAUCUAUUAUGGCUCCAAAACAACAGUACAGAUUGACUAACACGCAUGUUAGUCGUGUGUUUUACACUGUCGAUUUUACAUUUAACAGCUACAAUUGACUAACCUGUCGCUAACACACUGUACAAAAGAUCUAUUUUGGAGCCAGAAUAGCCGCAGCCCUUUUUGACCAUGUUCGUGUUUGGUGGACCUUUGUGUGUCUGUGUGCUGCACGGAAAAGGACCUUGUUUAUCUGCAGUGUCACCUUCUUUGGCGGGGGCUCGGUGUGGAAUAAUCUACAGGAUGUGGUGGAAACCGUUUCCAUUUCCCUGCAGGGUCACUUUCCCUACACGUUCGUUCCCUCCUCCAACAUUAUUUCUUGUUGGGGAGGAUUCAGAGUUUUUCGCAAGGCCUAGGUGGAGCUCUCCCCCAACCUUGUGUGGUGUUUUUGCCUGGUUAAGGGGUGGUGUGUAGUUUACAUCGUAUGGUUUACCCCUGUUCCUAUGUAUGGCGGCCUUCGCUUUAGGAAGCUUGUGUUGCUACCUACCUUUGCUUCGAUCUCAUUUUGGGUUCAUAGUAUAUUUUUGGAUGAUUAUUUUGGUAGCUCCUCUAUCUCUUUUGGAUUGCUCUCUUUGUGGUUUAUGCUUAUGUAGGGGUUGGCUGUGGGGGAUCCUUGCUCUGCUGUUUUUGUCUUGUUAUGGGGGUCCUAUAUUGGCUGUUCGUGGUUCAGUGGUCAAGGGUUUGGCUUCGUUGGCUUUUCUUCCUGCCUGUGCGGGAGGCUAUUGUUUGGCCGACUGUUCUUGUGGCACAGGACCCUGGUUUCUGCAAAGGUUUAGUUGUGGAUGGCUUUCCUGUCGAUGGCUUUGGUUUGAUAUGUGGGUAGAUCUUCUUGUGGUUGUCCUCUUUGUGUAGGGGGCGGUGGAGCUUUGCCUCCUCUCCUUAUUGGUUGCCUUUGUGGUGCAGAUUUCCUGACAGCGAUGGGUAGUUUUCUGGCUAUGCUGUGGGUGCCAGCUUUGGAGACAUGCUUUUUCAGGGCAACGAUGCCUUGUAGGGAGGGGUUUCUCUACCCCUUAUUGUCGGUGGCUGUGCUGGAUUUUUUUACUCCUCUUGCAGCCUCUCUCUCUAUUUUCUUCUGGCUGCUCUAGUUUUGGCAGUAAGGUUUUGCUGCAGAGAGAUCCUAGACUUUUUGGGUGUGGUUCUAAUCCCAUCUGGGUUUUGCAUGUUCUUGUGACAUUAUCCAGUAUCUCUGUUGUCAUAGCUUGGUGGCCCAAUCUGUAUGGUGGAUUUUGUUUGUUGCGGCUCAACAAGUCCCCCCUUAGGUUCUUGUUCUUCUUGCAGGUGCUUGGCGGGAGGUUUUCUACGGAGUUCUUCUACUUUCCUCAUGUGCUUUGUGGGGAGAUUUUUUUAUUGGGUGAUGCGUGAGAGUAGCCUGCAAAGACUAACCUGUAUGAGUUUUCGGGGGAUUUGUUGCCCCUCUUUUUUUGGUUUGGGCUUCUGUUCUUGGCUAGACUCCUUCCCGCUUGGGAAGUCGGCCCCUAUUGAGGUGGGGUCUUUCGUGGUGGCAUUGUUGUGGGGAUUGUGCAUUUUUCUCUGGCAGUUGUCUUUCAUGUUUGUAAUCGAGGUGGGUGCAUCUCUUAUUGAGGCAGGUAUCUUCUUUUGGAAGGAGGAUGGAAGCUACUCUAUAUGGUUUUCUCUUGAUUUUUGCUGCUCAGAUGUUGGGAUGCGAUCUAUUUGUGACACUCUUUGCUUGAUCUUCUUCUCUAUGGCUCCUAUUGAGGUGGAGAGGAGUGUUGCUGGCAAGAGGAUGACUUGUAGGGGAUGGCUCCGAUCUUGAAGAUGUUGGUUGGUUCUUGUUGCCAACUCAAAUCUGUCAAUGAAGGUUAGGGGAACAUUGGAAAAAUCACCCCCUUGUCGCACCUGAUUGGCCGAGGUUUAGAUGUAGGGUAGUCUAGUUACCAUCAUUCUUUGUCUUUCAAGAUACUUAGUUUUUGGAGUGAAGGUUUUGGGUCCUUUUGAAAACCCGUGAAGGUUUGGGGUUUUUUUAAAACCCACGGGUCUUUUGAAAACCCAUGUCUAGAAAUUGUUUUGCUUGUUUGGUUGGA